rnacentral:misc_RNA from 1 species
CUCAGAUGCAGUCGGAGCCUGGAUGGCUGCCGUCUAGCACUCCAGUCUUUGCUGUAUCUACAUUGUUGUCAUACUAUUCCUCGGCAGGCGUAGCUGCCGAGUGAUAAACAUAUAACCUUUUGUAAUUUCAAUCAGCGUCAUGAAAAUAUAAUAAUUUA